CAAUAUCAAGCAAUUUGUAAUAACAACCAGGCAGGAUUGACUAAUUAGUUUUCUGUCCAUAGUCAGAAGAGCAGAGUCAAACCUCGCCGACGUCGCCACACACAAAACAGGAAGGCCUCUCUGAAUCGAAACUGCAGC